rnacentral:rRNA from 1 species
UACGAAGGGGGCUAGCGUUGCUCGGAAUCACUGGGCGUAAAGAGCGCGUAGGCGGCUUGGUAAGCCGGAUGUGAAACCCCCGAGCUCAACUCGGGGCGGCCAUUCGGAACUGCCAUGGCUAGAGUCUGGUAGGGGAACACGGAAUACCUGGUGUAGCGGUGAAAUGCUUAGAUAUCAGGUGGAACACCAGUGGCGAAGGCGGUGUUCUGGGCCAGUACUGACGCUGGAGGCGCGAAAGCGUGGGGAGCGAACAGG